rnacentral:rRNA from 1 species
AUUGAACGCUGGCGGCAUGCUUUACACAUGCAAGUCGAACGGUAACAGGGUGCUUGCACCGCUGACGAGUGGCGAACGGGUGAGUAAUGCGUCGGAACGUGCCGAGUAGUGGGGGAUGACGCAGCGAAAGUUGUGCUAAUACCGCAUACGUACUGAGGUAGAAAGUGGGGGACCUUCGGGCCUCACGCUAUUCGAGCGGCCGACGUCUGAUUAGCUAGUAGGUGAGGUAAAGGCUCACCUAGGCGACGAUCAGUAGCGGGUCUGAGAGGAUGAUCCGCCACACUGGGACUGAGACACGGCCCAGACUCCUACGGGAAGCAGCAGUGGGGAAUUUUGGACAAUGGGCGAAAGCCUGAUCCAGCCAUGCCGCGUGUCUGAAGAAGGCCUUCGGGUUGUAAAGGACUUUUGUCGGGGAGGAAAUCCCCAGCGUUAAUACCGCUGGGGGAUGACAGUACCUGAAGAAUAAGCACCGGCUAACUACGUGCCAGCCGCCGCCGUAACAC